GAAGGGGGCAAGCGUUGUUCGGAAUUACUGGGCGUAAAGGGUGUGUAGGCGGGAAAGUAAGAUAGUGGUGAAAUGCCUGAGCUCAACUUGGGAACUGCCAUUAUAACUAUUUUUCUAGAGUGACAGAGAGGAUAUUGGAAUACCCAGUGUAGAGGUGAAAUUCGUAGAUAUUGGGUAGAACACCGGAGGCGAAGGCGAGUAUCUGGCUGUCAACUGACGCUGAGGCACGAAAGCAUGGGGAUCAAA
rnacentral:rRNA from 1 species